GUGGAGAGGAACAAAUCUGAGUC
rnacentral:piRNA from 1 species